GAAUAAGAAAACUCAUGCUCUGGGUGAGUCAACGUGCUGCCAGAGGCAACAUGAUCAGGAAACAGCAGAGUCAAGAGUAGAACCUUAGACUUUUCUGUGGAGCACAGAACUGACUAAAGUAUCGCUCCAUGAGACCUUGAAAAAGUAGAAGAAACUUAUCCUUCACCGCAGAAAGUUUGAGAAUCACUGUUGGACUCUGAAGUUUCUCCCCAAUACAAAUUAACCCUUACGUGGGUAUGGGUCAAAAGAGCCAGCCAGCGAGAGAGGGAACACAGCAGGGAAGUGGGAGAGGAAGAAGAAGGCUCCCACCGGAGGAGCCCAAUGUGGGACUCGAUGCCGGAACACUGGGAUCACGCCCUGAGCCGAAGGCAGACGCUUAACGACUGCGCUACCCAGGCGCCCCAAAACAAGAUUAUUUUUUGAGGCAAUCAACUACAUUCUGCAGUUUUUAUCUAAGCCUACUUGCAUUCCUCCUUGCAAUUCCCGCACAGCUUUCCACAGGAUAAAGACCAAACUCCUAGUUAAGGAGAACCUCCCUGCCGCUCCACUUCCUCGGACCCCUUGAACGCGAGAGACGCUGGCCCAGAUCCCAGCCUGGGACGUGACUGAAGCCCUCGCUUCGCAUUUAUUGGAUGUGUUGACGACCGACAGUUCUCACCUGCGUCCACCCGCAGUCACUGCCUGACCCCGUUACCCACAGGUCACCACCGCAUUCACUCCUCCAAUGAUUGAUCGGUUAAAGAUGCUAAAGGCCUUGAAACUGGCUGAGGCCUCCGUUGCAAGUGUGUUGUGGUUCCCAGAGCCCAAUCCUGCUUCCUUCAUUCCCCGGGGUUGUUGAACUCCUGCACUCUCCAGUAAAUUUCCCGCACCUGAAUCAGUCUCAGAUUCUGCUCUCCAAGAGCCCGGUGUGUCCAAGGAAGCUGACUCUAAGUGGAAUUUUAAUUAAGGAUGAGCAGCUGGCCUGCUGGCCAUAAGGCUCCCUGUCACUGGUAGCAGGGGGAGCUCUGAAAGCUGCUCACAGGAUAGCAGCACACUUGUCAAAACCCCUACUGGUGGCGAUCUGGGCCUGUGUCACGUGAGCUGAUACAAUAUAUCAGAGGACACGUGGAAGGGGACACGUGGAAGGGGACACGUGAGCUGAUACAAUAGAUCAGACAGCUGGAUGCAUGUUCCCGGGAUCAACUGAUGCUUUGGGCCAAGACAAUAAACAGUUGAGAGUGAUUAACAACCAAUUAAAAUGACGCCAAGAUGUACCAGGAGAAACUGGAAGAAUAUGGGACUGAAUUCUGAGAAUAACUACAUCCACAGGAGCAGAACACACAGUGGAUCAGAAAGAGUCUCGGCUGUGGCAGCUCUCUUCUGCGAUACGGAAUUUAAGACAUCAGCAAGGAUUGGGGACACAGCACGAAUAUAUUCCUGGGAUGGUUCUUGUUAAAUGAAUAGAAGUGCCAGGGCUAUCUGGGUUAAUAGUAAAGGAAUCAAAGACUUGAGAAGCAGGCAUGCUAGAGUGGAAUAAAUAAAUGACAAGAAUAAGUGAAUAAAUGAACAAAUGGUCUACCUUUCCUUGGUAAGGGACAUGUACACAUGGCUGCCUGAAUCAUCUUUCUAAACCUCAAAUCUGAUCACAUCAUUCCUCCUCCUCACAUUCCAAAUAAAUUUCAACUCUAUUGUUUUUGACUUAUUAUAUAUUUAUUAAUUUCUUAGGAUGUGUUCCUGGCAGAUAUGGGUACUCAAAAAAUAUUUGUUGA